UAUAUACCAAUAUACGGCUUGAGUCGAUUCAGUUGCACGCGAGUGUAGUUGGAAAAGCCUAUAUAAAAUGCCAAACUGGAGAAAUUACUGCAAAAAGCCAAGUCGAUUUUAUGACCGCUGCAUAAGAUUUUGAAGCGGAUUAAAAGUCUAAAUAUAUUUCAACGACAGUUGCCUCCCACACGGAUAUUCCUCUGUAAUUGGAGAAUCGUGAUACUUGUUACUCCUGAUAUUUCUUCUGUGAAGAAAUCUCUCGUAGUAAGAAAGAGAAUAGGCAAUACAGGCUGUAAUAUCGGCAAUAAUUUCAAGUUCUUCUCAUAAAAAGGACCUUGAUAAUGAUCAAGUUAAAAAUCAAAUAAAGAAAACAGCGAAAAAAACGUAUAAAAAAACAAGAAGAAAAUAACAAACAAGACAAACAAGAAAGAUAUGAUCGACAGUGACUCUUCAGACUCGGAUCCUGGUUCUAUAUCUGGUAGUAAUACAGACUCGUCCGACGAAUUUGCAACGACAAAUGAGUGUGAGAUUGUUUUUUUCUGUAAUUAAAAAUAUAACGAGGAUAAAGGUGUGAAGAAUGAAUACAGGGCUUAAUGUGCGAAUUGUGGGUUCACGGUGCUUGUGGUGGUUCAUUCCGGUUCAUACAUCCGUAUCAUUUUUGCCAAGCAAUCGAAAAAAGAACCCACUACUAAUGUUCAACAACUACACGUAUAAAAAACAGUGGGAGUGUACUUCGGGAAAGGUCAUCUGGUACUGUUCGAAGCGGAAAAGAGGAUGUAAAGCAUUUGUUCACAGCAGAGAUGGGAUAUUUACACCUGGCGAUCUGAUACACACGCAUCCAGCUCCACCAUACAUGAGAGGCAAUGAUGGGUCAUGGGUAAAGUUAUAGAGAAAUACACCAAAAGUCAAUAACUAAUAAUAAACGCCUAUAAUAAACA